CCUUUCUCCCUAAGGUUGUCCUUGAAUGAGUGAAUGGAGGGUGCUCCCAGAAUCCUGAAGACUCUCCCAGGCUUUUCCUAGCGGUGUGAUCCUGAGCGAGGCACUUAACUUUUCUUGGACUUGAUUUGCUCAUCUGUAAAAUGGACAUGCUAAUAAUAGCAUUUAAGUGGCUCAGGGUCACACAAACUGAUCUGAGAGGAAGGAUUUGAACAUUGCUUCAGUGAGCAUAGAGUUAGGGCUGAAGGGAUCUCAGAACCCCUCCUUCAUUUAUGGGGGAGAAAACUGAGGACCAAAGGGAUAAAGGGACUUGUCUAGGGUCAUACCAGUUGUUAGCAUCAGAGAUGGGGUUUGAAAGAAACUCAUCCAGUACCUUGUUGUAGUGUAUGUGCUAAUAACUCAGAACAUUCUAUUAGGAUGGUCACUUUGAAGUAGUUUUGUUGUUGUUGUUUUAUUUUGUUUUUAGAUGGUUGGUAUGAACCUUGGUCUGAGUCACUGAGAGAAGUCUGAGGAGUUAGUGGGACACUAUUCAGGAGCUGGUUUCUCAUCAUUGUUCAGUGUGGGUUGAACUUCUGGGGCCAAGUCUGACUAUUUUUCAGAUUUUACAGAGUUCUAUUUCUAUCCCGAAACUACCUCAAGAGGGACAUUCUCAGCUCUAGGGAUAGUUUCCAUUUGAACCACUCCAGUCAUGCAUGACAAAGGGAUGAGCUUCCAGAAGGUGAUUGAGAAAGUUUACAACUGUCUCCAGUCAGAAUCCUUUCUCUCUAAGGAAAAGAAAAUAAAGUUUCCCCCAGGUAUAUUACAUGAAUUGGUAGGAGAGGGUAGUGUGGAGAAGAGAGAAAUUACAAGAAAAUGCAUGCAAAGGACAGAAGCUGGAGAUGGGUCAUCUGCCAGUCAAAUGAAGAUUCCAUUUGGAAUGUGACUGGGAAACAGUUGGAGGCAAGAGCCAACUGCUGGACUUUUUCUGAGUCUUUGGGCUUCUGGUUAAUUUGAAGGAAGAAGCUGGGUUUAUCUCUUGGACUUGGGAAAAUCAAGUUGGAGGUGAUCUGGCUGAUUUGAAGGAAGAAGAAGAAAGACAGUAGUCCUCUGACUCUGUCUCAGUCUCUGACUGGCUCUGUUUUAUGCUAGUGACUGAAUUGCCAUUUCUUUCAAUAUUCUCCAAUCUAACACUCACCUUAUCCUUCACCCUUGUCCUGUCUUCCCCAAAUAAACCCCUUGUUUGACAAAGAAGAUUAAGAACU
rnacentral:lncRNA from 1 species